CCUCCAUCGGCAACCAUGCAGUCGACGGUAGCACAGAGAGCUUGCUCUCGGGUGACGAGUGGCGGACGGGUGAGUAAUGUCUGGGAAACUGCCUGAUGGAGGGGGAUAACUACUGGAAACGGUAGCUAAUACCGCAUAAUGUCGCAAGACCAAAGAGGGGGACCUUCGGGCCUCUUGCCAUCGGAUGUGCCCAGAUGGGAUUAGCUAGUAGGUGGGGUAAUGGCUCACCUAGGCGACGAUCCCUAGCUGGUCUGAGAGGAUGACCAGCCACACUGGAACUGAGACACGGUCCAGACUCCUACGGGAGGCAGCAGUGGGGAAUAUUGCACAAUGGGCGCAAGCCUGAUGCAGCCAUGCCGCGUGUAUGAAGAAGGCCUUCGGGUUGUAAAGUACUUUCAGCGAGGAGGAAGGCAUUGUGGUUAAUAACCGCAGUGAUUGACGUUACUCGCAGAAGAAGCACCGGCUAACUCCGUGCCAGCAGCCGCGGUAAUACGGAGGGUGCAAGCGUUAAUCGGAAUUACUGGGCGUAAAGCGCACGCAGGCGGUCUGUUAAGUCAGAUGUGAAAUCCCCGGGCUCAACCUGGGAACUGCAUUUGAAACUGGCAGGCUUGAGUCUUGUAGAGGGGGGUAGAAUUCCAGGUGUAGCGGUGAAAUGCGUAGAGAUCUGGAGGAAUACCGGUGGCGAAGGCGGCCCCCUGGACAAAGACUGACGCUCAGGUGCGAAAGCGUGGGGGAGCAAACAGGAUUAGAUACCCUGGUAGUCCACGCCGUAAACGAUGUCGACUUGGAGGUUGUGCCCUUGAGGCGUGGCUUCCGGAGCUAACGCGUUAAGUCGACCGCCUGGGGAGUACGGCCGCAAGGUUAAAACUCAAAUGAAUUGACGGGGGCCCGCACAAGCGGUGGAGCAUGUGGGUUAAUUCGAUGCAACGCGAGAACCUCACCUACUCUUGACAUCCAGAGAACUUGGCCAGAGAUGGCUUUGGUGUCUUCGGGAACUCUGAGACAGGUGCUGCAUGACUGAUCGUCAGCUCGUGUUCGUCGAAAUGAUAGGAGUUAAGUACCCGCACCGAGCGCAUCCAUCAUCAUUGGUUGCUAGCGUCUUAGGGUCGGCACUCAAUGAGAACUGCCAGCUGCACUAAGACUGGGGCA
rnacentral:rRNA from 1 species